rnacentral:rRNA from 1 species
UGCGUAGGCGGACUAAUAAGUCAGUGGUGAAAUCUCUCGGCUCAACCGGGAGACUGCCAUUGAUACUGUUAGUCUUGAGUUCGGUUGAGGUAGGCGGAAUGUGUAAUGUAGCGGUGAAAUGCUUAGAUAUUACACAGAACACCAAUUGCGUAGGCAGCUUACUAGACCGACACUGACGCUGAGGCACGAAAGCGUGGGUAGCGAACAGGAUUAGAUACCCUGGUAGUCC